rnacentral:tRNA from 1 species
GCCCUUGUGGCGUAAUCGGAUAGCGCGCUCGGCUUCUAACUGAGAGGUUGUGGGUUCAAGUCCCACCAGGGGUA